rnacentral:rRNA from 1 species
AGCAGCCGCGGUAAUUCCAGCUCCAAUAGCGUAUAUUAAAGUUGUUGCAGUUAAAAAGCUCGUAGUUGAAUUUCGGGAUUGACACAUCGGUCGUGCCUUAAGGGGUAUGAACUGGUGUAGUCAAUUUCUCACCUUCUGGAGAACCGCGAUGCCCUUAAUUGGGUGUCGCGGGGAACCAGGACCUUUACUUUGAAAAAAUUAGGGUGUUUAAAGCAGGCAUUUUGCUUGAAUACAUUAGCAUGGAAUAAUAAAAUAGGACGGCAUGAUUCUAUUUUGUUGGUUUCUAGGAUCACCGUAAUGAUUAAUAGGGAUAGUUGGGGGUAUUAGUAUUCAAUUGUCAGAGGUGAAAUUCUUGGAUUUAUUGAAGACUAACUACUGCGAAAGCAUUUGCCAAGGAUGUUUUCAUUAAUCAAGAACGAAAGUUAGGGGAUCGAAGACGAUCAGAUACCGUCGUAGUCUUAACCAUAAACUAUGCCGACUAGGAAUCAGACGAUGUUAAUUUUUAAUGACUCGUUUGGCA